rnacentral:rRNA from 1 species
AAAGUAAUAUAGUCUAAAUAAGUAUUAUGUAAUAAAUAUGUAAGAAAAUAGGAUAACAAAUUGUAAGACUAAAUACUAUUAAUAAGUAUAAAAAGUACCGUAAGGGAAAGUAUAAAAAUGAUUAUUUUAUAAGCAAUCAUAAAUAUAUUAAUUAUAUUAAUGAUGUACCUUUUGUAUAAUGGGUCAGCAAGUAAUUAAUAUUAGUAAAACUAAUAAGUUAUAAAUAAAUAGAUAAAAAUAAUAUAUAUAUAAAAAUAUAUAAAUAAUACAUAUAAAAAAAAAUAAUAUGUAAUAUUUAAUUAAUAUUAAUUGACCCGAAAGCAAACGAUCUAACUAUGAUAAGAUGGGUAAACGAUCGAACAGGUUGAUGUUGCAAUAUCAUCUGAUUAAUUGUGGUUAGUAGUGAAAGACAAAUCUGGUUUGCAGAUAGCUGGUUUUCUAUGAAAUAUAUGUAAGUAUAGCCUUUAUAAAUAAUAAUUAUUAUAUAAUAUAUUAUUUAAUAUAUUAUAUAAAGAACGGUACAGCAAUUAAUAUAUAUUGGGGAACUAUUAAAGUUUUAUUAAUAAUAUUAAAUCUCGAAAUGUUUAAUUA